UGGAUCCAGACUUUGAUCAUGGCUCAGGAUGAACGCUAGCGGCAGGCUUAACACAUGCAAGUCGAGGGGCAGCGCGGGAUAGCGAUAUCCUGGCGGCGACCGGCGGAAGGGUGCGUAACGCGUGAGCGACAUGCCCGUUGCCCGGGGACAACCGGUGGAAACGCCGACUAAUCCCCGAUGGGAUACGAUGCUGCAUGGCAUUGUAUUGAAAGUUACGGCGGCGACGGAUUGGCUCGCGUCCGAUUAGCUGGUUGGCGGGGUGACGGCCCACCAAGGCUACGAUCGGUAGGGGUUCUGAGAGGAAGGCCCCCCACAAUGGGACUGAGACACGGCCCAUACUCCUACGGGAGGCAGCAGUGAGGAAUAUUGGUCAAUGGGCGGAAGCCUGAACCAGCCAUGCCGCGUGCGGGAAGGAGGCCCUAUGGGCUGUGAACCGCUUUUGCCUGGGGGCAAUAAGGGCGUCGCGCACGUCCGAUGAGAGUACCAGGCGAAUAAGCAUCGGCUAACUCCGUGCCAGCAGCCGCGGUAAUACGGGGGAUGCGAGCGUUAUCCGGAUUCAUUGGGUUUAAAGGGUGCGUAGGCUGUGCGUCAAGUCGGGGGUGAAAUUCCGGUGCUCAACACCGGGGCUGCCCUUGAUACUGUCGCGCUGGAGUGCGGAUGCCGCCGGAGGAAUGAGUGGUGUAGCGGUGAAAUGCUUAGAUAUCACUCAGAACACCGAUUGCGAAGGCAUCUGGCGAAUCCGUAACUGACGCUGAGGCACGAAAGCGUGGGGAUAGAGCAGGAUUAGAUACCCUGGUAUUCCACGCCGUAAACGAUGAUGGCUAACCGCCGGCGACACACUGUCGGUGGCCAAGCGAAAGCGAUAAGCCAUCCACCUGGGGAGUACGUCGGCAACGAUGCAACUCAAAUGAAUUGACGGA
rnacentral:rRNA from 1 species